rnacentral:tRNA from 1 species
GCCGGUGUGGUGGAACUGGCAGACACAAGGGACUUAAAAUCCCUCGCUAGUGCGUGCGGGUUCGAGCCCCGCCACCGGCACCA